CCCACAUGAGUCUCUUUUUUUCUUGAAGUUAAAUCACCGGUGCCUCUUCGUCUCUAUCAUCUCUGUCUAUCCCCUCCAGCCUCCUCAUGACCUCAUCCACAUACACCAUUGCCUUCAAUUAGCAUCCAGCGAAGGAAGAUGUCGCUGCUGGCUUAUGCGAAACUAAUUCCCGACCUAUCCACGCGCUACUUCUUGUCUCUUAUGUUCCAAAAAAAUUCGAUUUGGUGCUGUCCUCAAACCUUAGCUUUGCUGAUCUUAGGUUGGGCCUGCAGCAACGAUGAACUCAUGUGGGUAGGUCUCAGCUCGUUGGCGCGAGUUCUCACCUUCCUCACUUCUGGUGCUGUCGGCCCUCUACCAAUAAUGUAGCAGAAGUGUCGAAGCAGAUUUUGAAGAAAUAGUAAGAUAGGAGAUGUGUCUGCUGGCUGAGUCGAGUUGUGGGCCUCCUCGUUGUUCACGAUGUCGGGUUUCCACCUAUGUAAUUUGCUACAGCUUCACAUCAUUCCUACUUCCUCCAUAGCGGGUGAUCUUUGCAUGUAUGUUUUCCCCCUCUAACCGAGCUAAAAGGAUAUAAUGGUUUUAUUUAUUGUUACCAUAUAUUUGCAAGUUAUACUACUUGUACAUGUAUUUAACGCGAAGCAAUAUACAUAUGUUAUUUGACAUAUAAUGGGUUUUCUAUGUGAUGAAUAUAAUGUUGGAGCUUCUCUAAUGUUUCUCUUGAGAUGAAAAGACUGUAGGAUAGGAGAAUUGGUAUAUGAAGAGCAGAAAACUCAUAUUUCAAAUAAAUACUAUAUGGCUUGCUUCUGGUAGUGCUAACUUCAGAGCCUUCAUCAACCUCUUUGGUAUUUUUUGUGCUCUCCUUAUGGCUACAGUAAAAGUGCAUAUUAUUUUGCCACAACGACAACCGAGUCUUCAUCUUCAAGCAUCGUAGCUUUUACUUUUGCUUCAACACAUUUCUUGUUCCCAGCAUUACAAUCUCUCUCCUUUAUUUUUGGCACACUUAUCUCAGCACAUUCAUCCUCUCAGCCAUCCAAUAAUAAUAGAUCUCUAUAUUUUUAUUUGUUUCAUUGCAGAGUUCAUGUGAUUCUAACAUUUUUUCUCCACGCCCAUCAUCAUUUAAUAUAGCUCCAUUUGUAUUGUGAGGUGAAGCUCCGUUGUUAUUUGUCUAAAAAGGGCAGCCCGAUGCAUGUAGUUCCCGCUUGCGUAGGGUCCGGGGAAGUGUCCGACCACUUUGGGUCUAUAGUAUGCAGCCUUUCCCUAUUGCUAUUUGUCUGCGAAAUAAAAAUACAUUUCAAAGAUUAGGCCCAUCUCUAAAAUUUGAGAAGUAUGUACGCCGAGAAAAUCAGUCAGCCUUUAUCCUCCAUGUUAUGCUUCUUCGUUGCUUUUUUUAACACGGCGUCCACAUUAUCAUCCAUCAAAAUCUAUGCAUAAUAUCUGAUUAUUAGUUAGGAAAUUACAAAACAGUACUUAUUUUGUAAUGAAUGAAAUGCAACUUUACCUCAGUUUUAUCUUUCAAGUAAAACUUCUCAAGCCUAUUAAUUAUCAUGCAUAAAUGUUCAUUUUAUUGGAUACUUUUUGUUUCGAAAGUGAGAUUGCCAUCGUGAGUUUAAUUGAAAAUAAGUCUUCGUCGACAUUAUUGCUGUAUAAUCUUUGGCGCUUCUUCAUAUUUCCCAUCCAAUGAGUUCAGCAAGUGGGAGACAUAAUGAAGUAAAAUAUGGUUCCAGUAUAACUUAUAUUGACUUGUUCUCACUGUAGGUAUUAACAGUGUUUUUGUCAUAAAAAGGUGGUGACUUCAUAUCUUAAAAGAAGUCUCAUGCAUUACCUUACUUGCCUAGUUUUCGUGCGUCAUUUCAGUAAGUUCUUGUAAUGUUCUCCUCUUGUAAAACACUUGUUCUUCUAGUGUUCCUCGCGUACUUCUAUCUAUCUCUAUUAAUUUUGGUAAAGCUUCUUCUCAUGAGUUCCUGCACAUAUGAAGUGAGUCAAGUAUAAUAAGUAUCUUACUUUAUUGGUGAAUAAAGAUGAGUCAAGAUAAAUUCGUUGAUUAAUAGUAAAAAAUGGUCUUCCAUGCAUGUCAAGAAUUCCCCAAGUUUUGGUAUAUCUAGAUCUGUAUGUAUUCUUGUGGCACUGGUUGACUUCAAGCACAACCAUGUUUAUCAAUGAAAAUUCUGUUAGCUAUAUUUUCAGUAAAUAAUAGAAGAGCUCGUAACAUUAAUGAACUUACGAUUGAACUUCUGCACCAUUGUGAGGUCACAAUAAGGACAGUUUGGUUUCUAGUUACAUCCUCAUUCAGAAAAUUAGAAAACUUUCCCCAUAAGGUAACACCACUUUUCUCACCCCUAAAGAGUAUAAGCCAAAAAAUUGAUGCUAACUACAAUGAGGUUAGUCCAAUUAAAAUUUGAUGGGUAUGAAUUAUGCACUUACUCUGAUAUUAGAUUUAAUCUAGCGGAAAUACGAAGGUUGUGAGUUAUUUCCUUUUAUUCUUGAUUCCACAUGCUUCAUUUGGGUGAGUAAUCCAUUGACAUAUGUAAAAUUGGAGAUUAAUUAUUUGGAAGUCUGAAAAUAUUAAUAUCUUGAAAAUCUUAUUUACAACCAUAAACUAUAGAAGUACCUAAGAAUUCUUCAUGUUUCUCUGCAUGUGUUCUUCUAAUAUUUCCUCUGUAGCAAACUCGAAGUAGUAAUCUGGGUAACCUUUAGAUGAUCCUUUCACCUCCUUUACUUUUGUAUUGUAUGCAAAAAUAAUGAUAUUUCACUACUCAGUUGGUAAUACUUUGUGGAAUCCGCAAACUUAAAAUUGCUAAAUACAUAGAUUGAUUCUAUCAACUUCCCGACAGUAGCAUGAAUUGUUUGGCCCUGUCAGAACAAUCAAAAUAUAGUUAGUAGUUAUUGUAUAGAAAAUAGAAAAAAAUGCAAGUAAUAAAUAUGCAAUGAAAAAACCUUAUCAUCCAUGAAUAUCAUAUCGGCAAAAUAUACUUAGUUGUUGUAUAUAAAAAAAGAACAACCUGCAAGUAAAUACGUAAUGACUAAACCUUUUCAUCCAUGAAUCAUCAUACUGAGGCUCCUAAGCCAAUUACUUGUAAAAUUGAUUGAUCAUAUUCUCGUUACUUGUACUUUAAUGUCAAUCUCCUUAUCUUGUGAACUCGCAAAGAUUAUUGUAUGCCCUUGCUGCAAAAGGAUCAUACAGAAGUACUAUUGUACCUAUGAAGAUUGUAUCCAGAAUAGCAAUGACAAACCUUGAUGAUCCAGAUGAGAGGGAUUGCAUCCAGAAUAGCAAUUACAAACCUUGAUGAUCCAGAUGAUAGGCCACUCGGAAGAUAGAUUGGAUCUAGAAUAGAAGUUGUGAACCUUGAUGAUUCAGCUGAGAGGCCACUCAGAAGGUUGCUUGGUGAGAUUUCGUCCGGCGGCGCUACUUCGUGUAGUUGAAUCAGACGACUUUGAUUUUGUUGGUAGUGUGCUGGCUAGGUAGCAUAUUGUGGUUGACUCGGCAAGUAGUACGUGUUGAGUAAUUUUGGUUCAGUCCGUGUGUUUUGUAUGUAGUCCAUGUACGUGUCUUAUUUGUAUGUGUGUGUUCAAGUUUGACUCUCUUUUUUUGA